AGCUCCAAUAGCGUAUAUUAAUGUUGUUGCAGUUAAAAGCUCGUAGUCGGAUUUUGGCUUAGUCGAACUGUCUGCCAAUUGGUAUGUACGGUUUGACGACGCAUUCCUUCCAGAGGCUCUGUGAACCUUAAAUGAUGAACAGUAAGAAUCUGGAUCUUUUACUUUGAAAAAUUAGAGUGUUCAAAGCAGGCCUAUGCUCGAAUAGGUUAGCAUGGAAUAAUAGAAUAGGACUUUGGUUCUAUUUUGUUGGUUUCUAGGACCGAAGUAAUGAUUAAUAGGGACAGUUGGGGGCAUUCAUAUUCCAUUGUCAGAGGUGAAAUUCUUGGAUUAACGGAAGAUGAACUUCUGCGAAAGCAUCUGCCAAGGAUGUUUUCA
rnacentral:rRNA from 1 species